rnacentral:rRNA from 1 species
CGCUGGCGGCAGGCCUAACACAUGCAAGUCGAGCGGAUGAAAGGAGCUUGCUCCUGGAUUCAGCGGCGGACGGGUGAGUAAUGCCUAGGAAUCUGCCUGAUAGUGGGGGACAACGUUUCGAAAGGAACGCUAAUACCGCAUACGUCCUACGGGAGAAAGCAGGGGACCUUCGGGCCUUGCGCUAUCAGAUGAGCCUAGGUCGGAUUAGCUAGUUGGUGAGGUAAUGGCUCACCAAGGCGACGAUCCGUAACUGGUCUGAGAGGAUGAUCAGUCACACUGGAACUGAGACACGGUCCAGACUCCUACGGGAGGCAGCAGUGGGGAAUAUUGGACAAUGGGCGAAAGCCUGAUCCAGCCAUGCCGCGUGUGUGAAGAAGGUCUUCGGAUUGUAAAGCACUUUAAGUUGGGAGGAAGGGUUGUAGAUUAAUACUCUGCAAUUUUGACGUUACCGACAGAAUAAGCACCGGCU